UACGGGGGGGGUAAGCGUUGUUCGGAAUUACUGGGCGUAAAGGGCUCGUAGGCGGCCAACUAAGUCAGACGUGAAAUCCCUCAGCUUAACUGGGGAACUGCGUCUGAUACUGGAUGGCUUGGAUUCGGGAGAGGAAUGCGGAAUUCCAGGUGUAGCGGUGAAAUGCGUAGAUAUCUGGAGGAACACCGGUGGCGAAGGCGGCAUUCUGGACCGAUAUUGACGCUGAGGCACGAAAGCGUGGGGAGCAAACAGG
rnacentral:rRNA from 1 species